AUUGAACGCUGGCGGCAGGCCUAACACAUGCAAGUCGAACGAGUGGCGGACGGGUGAGUAAUAUCUGGGAAACUGCCCGAUGGAGGGGGAUAACUACUGGAAACGGUAGCUAAUACCGCAUACCAGCGGAUGCGCCCAGAUGGGAUUAGCUAGUGGGUGGGGUAAAGGCUCACCUAGGCGACGAUCCCUAGCUGGUCUGAGAGGAUGACCAGCAACACUGGAACUGAGACACGGUCCAGACUCCUACGGGAGGCAGCAGUGGGGAAUAUUGCACAAUGGGCGCAAGCCUGAUGCAGCCAUGCCGCGUGUAUGAAGAAGGCCUUCGGGUUGUAAAGUACUUUCAGCGGGGAGGCGUUACUCACAGAAGAAGCACCGGCUAACUCCGUGCCAGCCGCCGCGGUAAUAC
rnacentral:rRNA from 1 species